GUGAAUCAUCAAAUUUUUGAACGCAAAUUGCACUCUCUGGUAUUCCGGAGAGUAUUUGUGUUUGAGGGUAAGUUUAAAUAAAAAUCGGUGUGGUUGGUGCUUUUCGUGGUGACGCAUCGGAUUUGAGUCGUCUUGCGUUCGUAUACGUGAUAUAAUAAUUUGCAUGAUUUUUUUCGACUGUAUUUGAAUGAUUUUACGUACGUUUGCGAUGUCGAAUUCUAUGUGUGGUCUUC
rnacentral:misc_RNA from 1 species